rnacentral:miRNA from 1 species
GCAGACACAUUGCAGCCAAUUAGCAGCAGACCCUCCCUCCCAGACCCUCCCACCUCCUGGACAGCAUCCAUUGUGAAGCUGCAUUCUUAGUGAGCUGUCCAGGAGGUGGGAGGGUCUGGGAGGGAGGGUCUGCUGCUGAUUGGCUGGAAUGUGUCU